UACGAGGGGGGCGAGCGUUGUUCGGAAUUAUUGGGCGUAAAGGGUGCGUAGGCGGGUCUUUAAGUCAGGGGUGAAAUCCUGGAGCUCAACUCCAGAACUGCCUUUGAUACUGAAGAUCUUGAGUUCGGGAGAGGUGAGUGGAACUGCGAGUGUAGAGGUGAAAUUCGUAGAUAUUCGCAAGAACACCAGUGGCGAAGGCGGCUCACUGGCCCGAUACUGACGCUGAUGCACGAAAGCGUGGGGAGCAAACAGG
rnacentral:rRNA from 1 species